rnacentral:lncRNA from 1 species
CUGGUUCAGUCUUGAGGAGUAUAUGUGUCCAGGAAUUUAUUAAUCUCUUCUAGGGUUUCUAGUUUGUGUGUAUAGAGGUGCUCGUAGUAGUUGCUGGUUGUUAUUUUUAUUUCCCUGGGGUCAGUGGUAACAUUCCCUUCAUCAUUUCUAAUUUUGUUUAUUUGAAUCUUCUCUCUUUUCUUCUUUAUUAGUCUAGCUAGUGCCCUAUCUAUCUUAUUAAUUUUUUCAAAAAACCUUGAUUAAGUGAUCUCUUGAACAGUUUU